GAAUAUUUUCUACGCCGGCCCUGACGGACGACUAAAAGAAAUGGAUGUUCUGACAAACAGCAUAGAUGCCCGAAUAUGGAUAAUGAAGUAUUUAAUGAGUCAGUCGAUUAUAGUAUUUUGUGAUAGAAAGACAUGUGUACCUAGAUAUUAGAAUAAAUGUAUUAAAUUCUGAAUUUGCCUUUAAAUAUUUAACAAAGCAGCGGUAGGAUAUUAUCCAUGUGCUAUAACAAGUGUUAAGUUAUAUUAAUACUUAUUUAAUAGUGAUAUUUGUUUAAAAACACAAUAAUUGUAUAUCGUAUGUGAAUGUUUCGAAAGUGACAAAAAUAGCAACGGAAUUUUCCUGCAAGAAGUGAACUUGUGAAGUGUUGUUACGUUAAAGUGUUUUACGUGGAAUUUUAUCCGGAAUUUGCACUAAAUGCGACGUGUAAAUAAUAUUUUUAAAGUACGGUGAAUCACCUGGGUGUUUUUAUGAGUUGUUUUUGGAUCAAUUUGUGAUGUUUCUUUGCCAAUGAUGUACAUUGUACCACAUAUUUUUUAUGACAGGAUGUCUGUUGGAACUUCGAACUUGUGUCUGAUGGGGUUAAGAGGAUUGAACUGUAAAUCAGUGGCAUCGGAUCCACGAGGACGUGGAUAAGGGAAGCGUGGCCGACUGUAAAGAAUAUUUUCUACGCCGGCCCUGACGGACGACUAAAAGAAAUGGAUGUUCUGACAAACAGCAUAGAUGCCCGAAUAUGGAUAAUGAAGUAUUUAAUGAGUCAGUCGAUUAUAGUAUUUUGUGAUAGAAAGACAUGUGUACCUAGAUAUUAGAAUAAAUGUAUUAAAUUCUGAA